AUUGAACGCUGGCGGCAGGCUUAACACAUGCAAGUCGAGCGGUAGCACAAGAGAGCUUGCUCUCUGGGUGACGAGCGGCGGACGGGUGAGUAAUGUCUGGGAAACUGCCUGAUGGAGGGGGAUAACUACUGGAAACGGUAGCUAAUACCGCAUAACGUCGCAAGACCAAAGAGGGGGACCUUCGGGUCUCUUGCCAUCAGAUGUGCCCAGAUGGGAUUAGCUAGUAGGUGGGGUAAUGGCUCACCUAGGCGACGAUCCCUAGCUGGUCUGAGAGGAUGACCAGCCACACUGGAACUGAGACACGGUCCAGACUCCUACGGGAGGCAGCAGUGGGGAAUAUUGCACAAUGGGCGCAAGCCUGAUGCAGCCAUGCCGCGUGUGUGAAGAAGGCCUUCGGGUUGUAAAGCACUUUCAGCGAGGAGGAAGGUGGUGAACUUAAUACGUUCAUGAAUUGACGUUACUCGCAGAAGAAGCACCGGCUAACUCCGUG
rnacentral:rRNA from 1 species